GAUGAACGCUGGCGGCGUGCCUAACACAUGCAAGUCGAGCGAUCUUCUUCGGAAGAGAGCGGCGGACGGGUGAGUAACGCGUGGGUAACCUGCCUCAUACACAUGGAUAACAUACCGAAAGGUAUGCUAAUACAAGAUGAUAUAAGAGAUUCGCAUGAAUUUCUUAUCAAAGCUUUUGCGGUAUGAGAUGGACCCGCGUCUGAUUAGCUAGUUGGUAAGGUAAUGGCUUACCAAGGCGACGAUCAGUAGCCGACCUGAGAGGGUGAUCGGCCACAUUGGAACUGAGACACGGUCCAAACUCCUACGGGAGGCAGCAGUGGGGAAUAUUGCACAAUGGGCGAAAGCCUGAUGCAGCAACGCCGCGUGAGCGAUGAAGGCCUUCGGGUCGUAAGCUCUGUCCUCAAGGAAGAUAAUGACGGUACUUGAGGAGGAAGCCCGGCUAACUACGUGCCAGCAGCCGCGGUAAAGUGU
rnacentral:rRNA from 1 species